rnacentral:rRNA from 1 species
UACGGAGGGGUCUAGCGUUGUUCGGAAUUACUGGGCGUAAAGCGCGCGUAGGCGGACCUGCAAGUCGGGGGUGAAAGCCCGAGGCUCAACCUCGGAACUGCCUUCGAUACUGCGGGUCUCGAGUCCGGGAGAGGUGAGUGGAAUUCCCAGUGUAGCGGUGAAAUGCGUAGAUAUUGGGAGGAACACCAGUGGCGAAGGCGGCUCACUGGACCGGUACUGACGCUGAGGCGCGAAAGCGUGGGGAGCAAACAGG